rnacentral:lncRNA from 1 species
AGGACGGGGCCAGCUGAUAGAUAUAAAAACACAUCUAAAACCUCGGACAGUAAGAUGCCGACAGAUGUGAAUACUUUACAAGAUAAACUUCGAGAAACACAAACUGAACUCGAUGAAACGAAAACUAAACUAGACAAAACAGUACAGGUAAGAUCAUCAACUAUUUACACAUGCGGGAUAUAGCUCUACUAAUUCUAAACUGUUCUCCUUGGAAGUCUAGUAAGAGUCGUCUCUAUUUGAUCCAGGUUACUACAGGAGGAAACCUAUACUAA